AUGGGCUACAGCGUGCCCUUGGAAAAGUACCUGGUAGGAUUCCUUCUGGUAGUCCUGUUCCAAGAAGGAGCGGGAGACAACAUCGCCAGGAUGGACCGGGUCUACCAGGCAGAAAAGUACAUGUGCGUAAGUACCAGACGAGACGGUAGCUACAUAAGAGGUUAUUCCUGCGAGGAGUGGUCUCAGGCAUCGUGGCUUACCCACCCUGGGUACAAAGAGGGCUAUUAUCCCCUGUGGUCCAGCUACAAGGAAAUCCAAAAGGGAAUCUCCCUUACCAGAAGAUUAUAUGGCUAUAAGGAAGUCUGGAGCAAUAAUGGUCUAGCAGUCAAGGGAGAGUCAAUAUUCAUAAAGUUAAGGGCAGAUUUACUCAUUCCCGAAAACAGAUCUCAUAAGACAGACAAAGGCCUGGUUUUUCUAAUUUUAAGGGCGGAUACUUAUGGGGAGGACCUAAAAGUAGUUAUCCAUCUAUCAGGAGUUGCAUGCGGGCCCAAUAAAUUUCCAUCUAGAGGGACGUAUGAUUCCUUGGGAGCGCCACAUCUCUCACCACCCCCGGUAGUGCACCCAAAUGGAGGGACGCACGAAGAAUAUUGGGAGGUAAAGACGGGUGAGCUUGAUCAGAAUAUGUGGUUAAAAUGGAUGAACUACACGGCCCGGGCCCAGGGCAAGACCAACUGCAUUAUCUGUGCCGCCGGCCGCCCCUCCUUGACCACAGCCCCCGCUAGAAUCACCCCGCAUAAUUCACCUCAAGGUUUUGUUUGUCUAUUAGAAUUGUUCUCGGACGGCCACAUCCCAGGAUGCUCAAUUGCAAUAAAAUCCAAACUAAAUAACAUGUAUCCUCAGACCCCGAUUAGAUCUAUACCCCCAAGAUUUGAAGUUAAUUUAACUCCGGACUAUCAUUGUAUCACAGGAAGGGGAACAGGGAGAAAGGUGGGAUCAUUUCCUCUUGACUCUUGUAACACUACUAGAGAGAUAAAAUUGUUGUCCAAUAUGACCCGUGCCCGUAGUGAUAUAUGGUGGUUCUGUGGAGGUCAGAUCCUCAGGGGAAUUCUCCCCUUUAAUUUCUCAGGAACAUGCGCAAUCAUACAGUUAAUAAUGCCCAUCUACAUUUUACCCGAUAGCAAGACCCGAUGUGAUGGAUCUCACAUUAUCCAGCAGCGGUGGUCUACCCUAACCCUAACCCUAACCCGGAUUUGA
rnacentral:lncRNA from 1 species